GCCGAAGUGGUGGAAUAGGUAGACACGCACGCUUGAGGGGCGUGUGGGGCAACCCGUGGGAGUUCAAGUCUCCCCUUCGGCA
rnacentral:tRNA from 1 species